rnacentral:rRNA from 1 species
UACGGGGGGGGGCAAGCGUUGUUCGGAAUUACUGGGCGUAAAGGGCCAGUAGGCGGCCAACUAAGUCGGACGUGAAAUCCCCAGGCUCAACCUGGGAACUGCGUCCGAUACUGGAUGGCUUGAAUUCGGGAGAGGGAUGCAGAAUUCCAGGUGUAGCGGUGAAAUGCGUAGAUAUCUGGAGGAACACCGGUGGCGAAGGCGGCAUCCUGGACCAACACUGACACUGAUGAGCGAAAGCCAGGGGAGCAAACGGG